UAGGGAAUCUUCGGCAAUGGACGAAAGUCUGACCGAGCAACGCCGCGUGAGUGAAGAAGGUUUUCGAAUCGUAAAACCCUGUUGGUAGAGAAGAACGUUGGUGAGAGUGGAAAGCUCAUCAAGUGACGGUAACUACCCAGAAAGGGACGGCUAACUACGUGCCAC
rnacentral:rRNA from 1 species